rnacentral:rRNA from 1 species
UACGUAGGGGGCAAGCGUUGUCCGGAAUCAUUGGGCGUAAAGCGCGUGUAGGCGGCUCGAUAAGUCUGCUGUGAAAGUCCAGGGCUCAACCCUGGAAUGCCGGUGGAAACUGUCGGGCUAGAGUCCGGAAGAGGCGAGUGGAAUUCCUGGUGUAGCGGUGAAAUGCGCAGAUAUCAGGAGGAACACCAACGGCGAAGGCAGCCCGCUGGGACGGUACUGACGCUAAGGCGCGAAAGCGUGGGGAGCGAACGAGG